AAGAAAAUAAAAAAUAGUCACAGAUAGAGCUCUCAAUAAAAUAGUAAAAGUUGUAUAAAAUGAAUCAGAAUUAUACUCAUAAGAGUAGAGCAGGCUCACUGCUCUAUGAUGAUAGCGUUGGUGGUAUGAUCCCCACCUGGGAUAUUCUUGAGAGUAGAGAUGAUAAAAAUGAUAAAAAAAUUAUGAUAAAAAUGCCAGGAAGUAUAAAUUAGGAAAAAAUGGUUA